rnacentral:tRNA from 2 species
GGGCCAGUAGCUCAAUUGGUAGAGCAGCAGACUCUUAAUCUGCGGGUUGACGGUUCGAUUCCGUCCUGGCUCACCA